UACGAAGGGGGCUAGCGUUGUUCGGAAUUACUGGGCGUAAAGGGCGCGUAGGCGGUGUGUCAAGUCAGGCGUGAAAGCCCCGGGCUCAACCUGGGAACCGCGCUUGAGACUGGCACGCUAGAGUUCGGGAGAGGAUGGUGGAAUUCCCAGUGUAGAGGUGAAAUUCGGUAGAUAUUGGGAAGAACACCGGUGGCGAAGGCGGCUAUCUGGCCCGUAAUUGACGCUGAGGCGCGAAAGCGUGGGGAGCAAACAGG
rnacentral:rRNA from 1 species